rnacentral:rRNA from 1 species
GACGAACGCUGGCGGCGUGCUUAACACAUGCAAGUCGAACGGAAAGGCCCUGCUUUGUUGGGGUGCUCGAGUGGCGAACGGGUGAGUAACACGUGAGUAACCUGCCCUUGACUUUGGGAUAACUUCAGGAAACUGGGGCUAAUACCGGAUAGGAGCUCCCGCUGCAUGGUGGGGGUGGGAAAGUUUCGGCGGUUGGGGAUGGACUCGCGGCUUAUCAGCUUGUUGGUGGGGUAGUGGCUUACCAAGGCUUUGACGGGUAGCCGGCCUGAGAGGGUGACCGGCCACAUUGGGACUGAGAUACGGCCCAGACUCCUACGGGAGGCAGCAGUGGGGAAUAUUGCACAAUGGGCGGAAGCCUGAUGCAGCAACGCCGCGUGCGGGAUGACGGCCUUCGGGUUGUAUACCGCUUUCGCCUGUGACGAAGCGUGAGUGACGGUAAUGGGUAAAGAAGCACCGGCUAACUACGUG